ACCCGCACAAGCGUGGAUGAUGUGGAUUAAUUCGAUGCAACGCGAAGAACCUUACUACCCUUGACAUGUCCGGAACUUGCCAGAGAUGGCUUGGUGCCCGAAAGGGAAUCGGAACACAGGUGCUGCAUGGCUGUCGUCAGCUCGUGUCGUGAGAUGUUGGGUUAAGUCCCGCAACGAGCGCAACCCUUAUCAUUAGUUGCUACGCAAGGGCACUCUAAUGAGACUGCCGGUGACAAACCGGAGGAAGGUGGGGAUGACGUCAAGUCCUCAUGGCCCUUAUGGGUAGGGCUUCACACGUCAUACAAUGGUCGGUACAGAGGGUUGCCAAGCCGCGAGGCGGAGCCAAUCCCACAAAGCCGAUCGUAGUCCGGAUUGUUCUCUGCAACUCGAGAGCAUGAAGUCGGAAUCGCUAGUAAUCGCAGGUCAGCAUACUGCGGUGAAUACGUUCCCGGGUCUU
rnacentral:rRNA from 1 species